GUCAUUUCUUUUUCAUUUGAAUUCUCACUUAAAACUAAGUCAAACAAAUCUCCAAUUUAUCGCCUAAUGGUUUUGCUUAUGAGAUGCUCAAUUCAACAUAUUUGUUAAACCUUAAGUUACUAUGGCUUUAACCCAGUUCCCUUCCAUAUCCCGUCCAACAACUUCAACAUAAGGGCAACUUCUCCGCUCCUAUUUUUCUGAAAAAUCCCUCUUCUUCCGGAAUACACGAUAAUUUGAAUAGGCUCAUCCCCACGCUCAGUCAAAGCCAUCGCCUAUAAAAAAAUUAUCUAUUUAGGUUGUUCUUAUUAACAAAAGGUUGAUGGAAGAGGUGGUGAUUGAAACAUCGACAUCGCUCCCCUGUCAGGUAGUACCAGGUAAGAGCCCUAACGUUAUUUAUUUUUUCUAUCCCUAAAUAGUUACUAUAUUUUGUUAUUUUAUUUUUUAAGCUUUAUAUCACUUUUCGUUCUUGCACUUUGCGAUUUUCUGUAUUGGCCGAAGACAUAGCUUCAUCUCUCUCACUGUAAUCUCCAUGAAGAACCCUAGCUUAAGGCUCCCCGAGCUCCCCUGACCAUGGAUGUUUUGAGACAGCGACAACGCUCCUCCAUCUCUAUCUGUAAAAAAAUAACACCUACGAGCCACCACCACAAUUAAAUAAACAAAUAACGAUGUUGAUGAUCUCAGUCUUAAUUAAAAGGUAACGUCUUUCAUUCAUUUAUGCUAUUAAAUAAACAAAUAACGAUUUCGGAUUGCAAAAGGAAACUUGAACGGCUGUGUUCCCAAAAUGGAACAAUCUGGUAGGCUUUUUCAAAUAGUUGCCAUGAAGAAUACCCAUAUUGGUAUGAUUUUUUUCAUUUUGUUCUUUAAUCAUUUAUUCUAUUUUCUUUUGGAAUACCCUUUGUUUUUGUUCAUUUGAUUCACAAGUUGAAAUUUUUAUGUUUCCAAGGUUAAUAUCACAGUUCAUGCUUCCAAAUUAUUAGGUUUGGGGAAGAAAUUUUUCCUCAAAUUUGAAUUUUAAGAGAAGAUUGAUUAUUUCAUCUUAUGUAGCAUCUUCAUAUCCAAAUCUUGGAAAAUGAACCCAGGGCUCCACUAUAAGAGGAGUCACAACAAGAUAAGAAACUUUUUCUCUCCUGAACUUCAUUAAGGUAAAUUGUAUUAUCUACUGAAAUUUGUAUAGUUUAUUACAUCAUUUUUGACUAAUUGAAAAUGAUGUUUUUGUUUUUCCAUGAAGGAGAUGUUAAUCAGGUGGAGCUGGUGGUAACUUCAAGUAAUCAAAUUUAGUCAUUGGAUUUGUUAUUUAUGUUUCCCAUUGUUUUCUAAACGUAUCCCAUAUUACUUAAUAUGUUUUUAUCUUGUGGAUCAAAAUAAGCAUUUACCAGUUCUUACUAGAACACUAUUGGCCAAUUUUGCAGGUUGUCAUACACUCAACAUUGCUAACUGAUGGAGAGUAUGACUGGCCAACAACAUGUGAGUAUGUCAUUUCUCCUGGAACAUGCUAACAUUUUUGUCAAGAAUGGUUUUGUCAUGGGCUUUGUUUUCAUCUAUUGUAGGUUUGGGUGUUGGUAUCUUUAAUGGAACACUUAUAAAUGUAGUUACUCAUUACUAACACCAUCACACCAUUAAACAACACAUUAUUCACCUCCACUUCCGACUAUAAAGAAAAAAGAAGAAUAAUAAAGAGCAACAUAUGUGAGAUUUAGUCGAUUAUUCUAAAUAGACAUUAUUAGUUAAAUCACAUGGAACAACAUACAUGAAAACCACACCAUCUAACCUUUAUUUAGAAGCUCUAACCUCAGUUAUCAUUUCUGUUUUGGUCAUAAAAGUUCCGAAAUUUCACCGUUUGAUCUUGAUUUCAUCACAUCCGCCUUUUGAUUGGUGUUGUUGAUGUUGAAUUAACCGAAGACCCUGAUAUUCCAUUCCAUCCAGGAAGGCAGGUUAGAGACUAAAAAGUUUUUGUUAUGGUAAUUUAUUUUUCAUUUAUCAAGGAACUGAUGUUGUUCAUUCAAAAUAGGAUUGCAGUGAAUGCAUAUUAGUUAUCCAAAAACUCAAAAGGUUGUAGAGGUGGUCCGCAGACUUCAUGAACUUUCGCUUCGAAAAGACAACACCACCUAAAUCAGUGUAAUCAAUACCACGAAUAUGAGUGUAGCCUUUAGCUACUAUCGAAGCUUUGUACCUUGGUUUCUCAUAUGGGUUGACAGAUUCCUUGAGCUUGUAGACCCACUUGCAUUUGACUGGUCUUCUUUCUUUCAAAAUAAGAACUUAAUCCUAAGUUAUGCAAGGACUCCAUAUCACCUUGCAUUGCAAUCAUCCAAUCACUUAAGUGUUUAGACUUAAUAUCAUCAGGAACAAAAAAGGAAUAAGCAACAAGAUCAGCUUCACCAUACGUCUUUGGAGGUACAAAUUCUCUUCUAGGUCUAUCUCAUGCAAUGCAUGGAGGAGUGGCUCAUGGUGGUGAAGAUGUUAACUCUUCAACAACAACGAGAUCAUCAGACAAGGAAGUUUCUUGAUUUUUCUAUAGAACAUGGAAUAGAAGUGGAAGGUGAAGUAGGAAGCUCCACCACCAUUUGAGAUUUCUCUUUACUUGCUUUGGAUGACACAUAUGUACUUUUAAAGGAGUUGAAAACUGGUUGAAUCUUGAGAUAAUAACAUUCUUUAGAUCUGAUCUCCAUACACCCUUGUACAUCCGAAUUGUACCUAAUAAAAACACAUUUGAUUGCUCUCGGUUCUAACUUCCCAUUAUCAACUUGU